AAUUGACAGUAAAUUUUACAGUCAUGGAGGAAUAAGAAAGCAGAGGAAAAAUUAAAAUGAUCAAGUUCUUUUACACCGUAAAUCUGCAUAGUUCCCUAUGUUUAUCCCGAGAAAUCAUCAAAUGCAGAGCCGUGGAGAGAUUAUUAAUAUGGAUACAGUUGAAGAUCUUACAUCAAAGGCUUAGCACUUUAAAAAAGCUAUAUCAAACUUCAGCAAAAUUUUGAUGAGAAUGAAAGACUAGGGAUUUUUGACAAUGCUGCUACACAACAUGUUCAAUCUCAGGUUAAGAGUGCAUGUGAUAAUAAUUUUUGUUUAAAAUGCUCUGAAAAAUGGGCAAGAGAAGGAAAAAAGAAAAUUUGGCACGUUUGGCAAGCAAUCCAGGAUUAACUCAGCCCUCGUUGUUGCAAUACGUGUUGCAAGGGUAGCACAGAAAAAGAAUUCAAGGGAGACUGAGGAGACAAUCUAUGAUCAUGUUCAUAAUCAGAAUAAACCAGAUAAAUCUUAUACAACAGAGCGGGCAAAGAAAUCUCGAAAGGCCAAUGCUUGCAGUGGAAAGAUCUUCGUCGCUGUCCCACAAGGCCAUUUUGAACGUAUACGACCCUGAGAGGAAUUAGGGAGUCCUAGCAGGAGAAUCUUGUGAAGUUAGGUUCGAUCCUGAGAGGAAUUAGGGAGUCCACUUUCCUCAUGUUGUUGGAAUUGCUGGAAAGUCCAAGCAUGCUUCGUAAUCCAUCGUUCUAUCUGGAGAUGAUAUGCAGAUGGUGACCAUGGAGAGUGGUUUCUCUACAGAUGAAGUGGGGGCCGGAACCUCAGUGGUAACAAACGCACAAACAAAGUCCAAACGUUUGAUCAAGAGUUUGAGAAAUCUUAUGAAGCCUUGUGUGUGAGUUGCAAGAAAGGAUAUCCAGUCCGGGUUGUUAGAUCAGAAGAAGCACUCCUCUUAUGCUCGAGAAACCGGGUUGCGAUACAUUGUAUAUACAGGAUUGAUAAAUGUUGGAGAAAAGCUGGGAUUCAGGUUUGGUUUUUCUCUUGUCUGCAAGCUUCAAAAUCUGGGCACAUGCUGAUUUUUCCCUUCUAGUCCAGCAUAGAUCUGAUGAGCAUUGUCAUUUUCAGGACUUUAGGAUGUAUAGGUAUUGCUUUGUUCGAUGACCAGGUUUUUUUAUUUUCCUUUGCAUUCUGUAUAUGUUUGUAUUUCUUUUCCCUAUCUCUAUCUACUUAAUAAUUGGAUCCAUGGUUGUUGAAUGAUAACUUAUUCUCUGCAACAUUGUUUGCAGUGAUGUACACGGGGACCAUCCAAGCGGGCCAACAGAUGCAACAGAUAGAAAGGAUAGUCCUUUCUGGGAAUAUGAUGAUGAAGAAAGUUGCUGGAAGUGGAAAAAACCUCCACCCUCCAGUAAAAAAUGUGCGUACAGAUAAUCCUGAAGACUGCAAGAGAGCAAGGAAAGAAGGGGAAAGGCACAAAAUAUGUCCAUUAGAGAUAAGGUUCAAUCCGUCUCUCUCUCUCUGGCCAUUGCUAACAGAACCAUAUUUCAACCAAGUGCAAAGGCUGAAUGAUGAGGUACAUGCAUCAUGCACUAAGUAUAUGCAAAGUGAUGUAGUUGAAACAUCUCCUAUCUGAAUUGGGGUAUUUGCCUAGAAAACCAAUAUUGUGAUGACAAAUCGGCAUGUGAUAUUGCUCAUAAUCUGGUUCAUCAUGAUUGAACAGGCAUGUGGAUAUAGACAAGUUUUUCAUCAAGGAGAAGUUGAAAAAUAAAAUUGUGGAGUUACCUAAAAUUUAAUCUAAAGAUUGAUUGGGUCAGUGAUAUUCAGACUAUAGUUGUUCCAAGUAAGGUGUUUUUGAAGUUUAUUUGCAAGCUGCGCAUGAACGACAAGCUCAACUAGAGAAAUAGUGUCAACUUGUAGAGGAAAAAAGCUCGAUCAAUGAAAUUUC